rnacentral:rRNA from 1 species
GCGACCCCAGGUCAGGCGGGACCACCCGCUGAGUUUAAGCAUAUCAAUAAGCGGAGG